rnacentral:rRNA from 1 species
ACUCCUACGGGAGGCAGCAGUGGGGAAUAUUGCACAAUGGGGAAACCCUGAUGCAGCCAUGCCGCGUGUGUGAAGAAGGCCUUCGGUUGUAAGACACUUCAGUAGGGAGGAAGGUAGUGUAGUUAACACCUGCACUAUUUGACGUUACCUACAGAAGAAGCACCGGCUAACUCCGUGCCAGCAGCCGCGGUAAUACGGAGGGUGCGAGCGUUAAUCGGAAUUACUGGGCGUAAAGCGCAUGCAGGCGGCCUGUUAAGUCAGAUGUGAAAGCCCGGGGGCUUAACCUCGGAAUUGCAUUUGAAACUGGCAGGCUAGAGUCUUGUAGAGGGGGUAGAAUUUCAGGUGUAGCGGUGAAAUGCGUAGAGAUCUGAAGGAAUACCAGUGGCGAAGGCGGCCCCCUGGACAAAGACUGACGCUCAGAUGCGAAAGCUGGGGAGCAAACAGGAUUAGAUACCCUGGUAGGAUAGCG